rnacentral:tRNA from 1 species
GCAUCCGUAGCUCAGCUGGAUAGAGUACUCGGCUACGAACCGAGCGGUCGGAGGUUCGAAUCCUCCCGGAUGCU